rnacentral:rRNA from 1 species
UGCCAGACUCCUACGGGAGGCAGCAGUGGGGAAUAUUGCACAAUGGGGGGAACCCUGAUGCAGCGACGCCGCGUGGGUGAAGGAGCACCUCGGUGCGUAAAGCCCUAUCGGCAGGGAAGAAACAGACGGUACCUGACUAAGAAGCCCCGGCUAACUACGUGCCAGCAGCCGCGGUAAUACGUAGGGGGCAAGCGUUAUCCGGAUUUACUGGGUGUAAAGGGAGCGUAGACGGCGAUGCAAGUCUGAAGUGAAAGGCGGGGGCCCAACCCCCGGACUGCUUUGGAAACUGUAUAGCUGGAGUGCAGGAGAGGUAAGUGGAAUUCCUAGUGUAGCGGUGAAAUGCGUAGAUAUUAGGAGGAACACCAGUGGCGAAGGCGGCUUACUGGACUGUAACUGGCGUUGAGGCUCGAAAGCGUGGGGAGCAAACAGGAUUAGAUACCCU